CUACGGGUCGCUGCAGUGGGGAAUCUUGCGCAAUGGGGGAAACCCUGACGCAGCGACGCCGCGUGGAGGAUGAAGGUCUUCGGGUUGUAAACUCCUUUUCUUGGGGAAAAUAGUGAUGGUACCCAAGGAAUAAGCCACGGCUAACUCUGUGCCAGCAGCCGCGGUAAGACAGAGGUGGCGAGCGUUGUUCGGAAUUACUGGGCUUAAAGGGCGAGUAGGCGGUGGAGCAAGUCUGUUGUGGAAUCCUGCGGCUUAACCGCAGAACUGCGAUAGAAACUGUUUCACUUGAGUCAGUGAGGGGAGGGCGGAAUUCCUGGUGUAGCGGUGAAAUGCGUAGAUAUCAGGAGGAAGGCCUGUGGCGAAGGCGGCCCUCUGGUACUGUACUGACGCUGAGGCGCGAAAGCGUGGGGAGCAAACAGGAUUAGAUACCCCCGUAGUC
rnacentral:rRNA from 1 species